AUGGCGGAGAACGUACGGUCGCCUUUCGACUACCGGGAGCCCCCGACCCUCGACAGCGACGGAGAUGGCAGUAAGCCGCCGCCGCCCCGAGGGCGGGUAUGUGGCAGGAAGAGGAAGGGUACGCCGGUGAAAGUAUGUGACCGAGCGUACGUCACGGAGGACGAAGAGGAAAGCAUGUCGGAACACAGUUACAGUCCAGGUGACGGACAAUAUCCAGAAGGAGCAGAAGACCGGUUGCCCCCGCCUGGAAGCCCAUACUACCUCGCCGACCCCUCACAGCUAUGUGUUCCGGAGCUGGGAGAGGAGGGGGCAGGCGGGGUGAGGGGGCCAGUGCUCUUCCACCCCCCACCCAACUGCAGGAUCAGAGAGGUGCAUUGUGGGAGCCAAGUGCGACUGGUUGUCAUAGCAAUCCGAGACAUAGCCAAAGGCGAGGAGAUCACAGUGGACUACAGUUUAACCGACUGGGGAGACAACACAAUGAGUUUCCAUAGUUCGGUGUCUCCAAGAGGAUUUGAAUGCAGCUUCAACCCUGAAAACAAUAUCAAGAAGGAGGAGGAGUCUGGUCCGAUGCCCCUCUCUCUGACCGUCUCAGACUACCUCACCCCGUCGUGGUCACUCUCACCCUCCUCCUCCCCGCUUUCCCACUCGGAGGCCAGCGACUCAGACCGUGAGGAUGAGGAGGACGAGGAAGAGGAGGACGAAGACGAGGAUGAGGAAGAAGAGGACGACCUGGAGGAGCUGCGGGGACGCAUGAUGCGUCGCCGCAAGAAGCGCAAGACAUCUGCGUCCGUAGCAACCGCUGCUGCUACUGCUACUGCUACCAACGCGGCCGCCGCCGCUUCGACCUCCUCCUCCCCGGUGCCCAAAAAGAAGGCAUCUGCCGGCCGGCCGCCCGGCCCACAUCGGGGCCCCUCCCUCGCCUUCUCUCGCUCUGCCUCUAGCUCCGCCUCCCCCUCCAAGGCAUCCACCACGGCUUUCCAGGCCCCCUUGGCACCGCCCCCCACCACCAACAUCAACAACAACAUAAACAUCAACAUCGGGCACCGCGGCAGCCUCGGCAGCGCCCCCCGCAGGCAGCACUGUGUCUACUGCGGCCGCAACUUCCGCUCAUUGGCGCGCCACCUGGAGAAGUACCACGCCCAGCAGCCAGAAGUGCGUGCAGCCAUGGAGCUGGCCCACAUGCGCUCCCACAGCACCACCACCGGCGGACCGCACUCUUCCUCCGCCGCGCCGUCCUCUUCCUCCUCGGCCGCCGCGCACUCCACCUUCGCCUCACCGCAGCCCUCGUCCUCCUCGUCUGCCACGGCCCCGGCCUCGCUGUUUUCCCGAGAGAACGCUCAAGGUCCUGGAGCGGUGUCGUUCUCCCUCUCUCUGUCGCAACCCUCACGAAAGACCCCUGCGGCCCCCCUGGCGCAGAACCGUAAGGGCACUGUCACCAUGGCGCCGCUCAACACUCAGCCUGGCAAGAGCCCCCCUGUUGCUGCAGCCACAGCCUCUGCCGCUGCUGCAGUGCGGCCUCCUGCCAAGAGGGGGCGCCGGCCGAAGAAGGAAAAGGAGGAGCAGCUGAAGCAGGAAGAGCUGGAGCGUGCUAAAGAGGAGGCGCCACCCACACCCGGCCGAGGAGAGGAGGAAGAGGAGGAGGAAGCACACCAUGAAGAGGAGGAGGAAGAGGAGGAGGGCGACGGAGAAGCGGAGCUCAGCGACGGGCGGGAAGAGGAGAGUCUGGACGGGAAGAAUGGAGAGAUGACCAGGUCUCACCGGACCCACAUGCCCCCGCUGCUCUCGUCCCUGUCCUGCCUGGUGUUGUACCUGCGUCGGCAGCAGCACUCGGCCUUCCUGUCGCUGUCGCGCUCGCCCGGCUCGGCCGAGGCCUGGCGCCUGCUGUGCCACUCCAGCCUGGCGCUGCUCAUCCUCUACAACCGUCACCGCGAAUGCGAGGUGGCCAAGCUCACCAUCCAGGAGUACCGCAACCGUUUCACUCCGCCGCCACCCCCCAUGUCCUCCUCCGCCACGGGCUCAACCGCCACCAACGGCGCCAGCAGCAAUGGUACCGGCGCCGGCGGCAGCACGUCUUCUGGGCCGGCGGCGGCACACCCUCUGGAGGUGUCACUGUCUCCGUUCGAGCGGCACGUGUUGUGCCACCUGCCACGGGCAGGUGUGGUGGGCAAGCGGGGCCGCAUGCAGCCGCUCAUCUUGCCUCCGCACUCCGAGGCCUGCCUGGAGCUGCUGCUCAGCACCUGCGCGCAGGUGGGCGUCGACCCGCAGAGCCCUUACGUCUUCUCGCGACCGUACCACUCGCCUGCCACCCCGCUGCGUGGCACCGACCUGCUGCGAGGCCUCGCACGCUCCAGCGGAGCCAAGAACCCGGCCGCCCUGACUGCGCCACGCGCUCGACGACAGGUGGCCAUCCUAACCCAGCUGCUACUGCUGGAAGAGGGCGAAAGGAAGAGGCUUGAGGACUUCCUGCAGCGCGAGUACCAUGUGACACAGAGCUGUGCUCGGAUUGGCCAGGACCCGGGGCUGAUGGGCCGUGUGGGUCGUGUGGUGCUGUACGGGGAGAGAGACGGAGUCCUCUUCAGGGGGAUGAGCCUCCAACAGAUCUGCCUCGAACUUGAUGUGAUGUCGGGGAACUCUGCUGACUCGUUCUCGGACGACUCGGACGUGGACGCAGAGAAGGGCAAGGAGCGGCCGGAGGUAGUCAAGAAGGGUGCAGGAGGGGGCAGUGCCGCCGCCAAGAAGAAAGGGGGCGGCUCACAGUCUGCUGCAGUCACCCCCGCGGGGCACAAGAGGAGAAGCGCUCAGCCCAAAUCAGGCAAGCGUGGCGUGCUGAAGCGGCCGUGGUCGGAGGCGGAGCGCGUGGCUGUGGAGACGCACCUGAAGCGCAACAUCAUGGAGCUUCGGGUGCCGGCGAAGGCGGACUGCGAGCGCUGCCUCCAGCUCUGCCCCCUGCUGGUGACCAACCAGCGUGACUGGCGCGCCAUCAAGUUCUACUGCCACAACCGCAUCCAGCUGCUGAAGAAGCAGGGCCGCCGCGAGGCCAACGGAGCCGCUGUCUGCUAGCUUGCUACCACCACACACACACACACACACACACACACACACACACACACACACACACAAGCGCGCGCGCACACGCAUACACACGCACUUGCGUGUGUGUGUGUCCAUUCUUACACACUGACGGAGACCUAUACAUACACAUCCACGCAGCGAGCCCUAUACAUCCAUGCAAACAUACAUAAACAUGUUCAUGUUGUACACAUACACUCAGUUACGAAAGAGUAUAUAUAAUAUAUAGAUGUACAUUCUCUCUCUCUCUCUCUCUCACUCUCUCAACCACACACAUUCACAAAUACAAAUGUACACAGUUGUGUGCAUACAUGUUUGUAUACCUACACAUACACAUACAUACACACACACACACAUACAGACAGACAGACACACAGACAGACAGACAGACAGACAGACAGACAAACACACACAUGCAUACUGAAAGACUAUGGCCCUUGUUCCACCACCUGUCUGAGUUCUAGUGUGUUCCAUGUGGAUGUGUUGGUGUUGGGCAGCAUGCUGACAUGAGCAACAGCGUCUUUUAAGGUAUGUUAGGAAGGGUCCACAUGGAGUCAGGCAAAUUUAACGUGUCUACACAACCCAUCCCACCCCCACCCCCUCCCACACACACACACACACACACACACACACACACAUAUAUAUACCAAGUCAUAUCCACAAAGAGACUUCUGAUACACCAACACACACUCCCAUGCGUGGAGUGUGAGGGUCCAUGAACUGACGUGUACAGAGACAUUCCUCUGAGUGUGAACAGACUUUCUAGAAGGAGACAAGUGAUUUGGGAGAGUGGGCACAGGACACCGUGGGGGGACCUUUGACGUGUCACGUGUCCCCUCACCCUGUAUCAAAGCAUGGGGACACUACUGGGACAUGUUGGAUGUUGGAAAAAAAACAUAGUGAUGGAUGACCAGAUGUUCUGUUUGGUUUUUUUUUAUUAUUAUUGAUGUUAUUGGUAUCCCUUUUUUUUUUUUUUUUUUUUUUUAAGAAA
ensembl:lncRNA